UACGUAGGGUGCAAGCGUUAAUCGGAAUUACUGGGCGUAAAGCGUGCGCAGGCGGUUAUAUAAGACAGUUGUGAAAUCCCCGGGCUCAACCCUGGGAGGUGCGCUUGAUACUCGAGGGCUUGAGUGCGGGAGAGGAGAGUGGAAUUCCCAGUGUAGAGGUGAAAUUCGUAGAUAUUGGGAAGAACACCGGUGGCGAAGGCGGCUCUCUGGACCGUAACUGACGCUGAGGCGCGAAAGCGUGGGGAGCAAACAGGG
rnacentral:rRNA from 1 species